AACACACAUACCAUGUAGUUUUCAAAUAAUAAAUACACAUGCAUCAUGCAUGUAGUUUUGUAGAAAGACCAGAUUUUCUUUUUGUUUAUAUGUUCUAAUCUGUCAUGCUGGUGCAAAAGCUAAGCGGGAUCACUUUGCUGCUGUUGCUGUGUCAGCAUGGUGUAAUGGAAGAAAAAGCUGCUCUGUUCCUGCAGAGAACUGUUUUCUCUGAACCUUGUUAUGGGACUUCUCUAAAUACCUGCGAUUGUCUUCUGAGUGUCGUCCACUGAGUGGGAUUGAUGGAGACAGUUUCCAACCUUAAUUUUGAAAUUGAUUCACUUUAAUCUUGGGAAGUCCUUUUGCUAUUACUGACCCAUGUUCCUGUUUUCCACCUAAAUAAUUCUAGAGCAACGCUUAACUUGUCAAGGUGCCAAAAGUGUCAUUUCCUGUGAGAAAAAGGGUGUUAUUUCUAUUCAUCAUGCCAAUUAUGGACAGCGGGAUCUUGCAACCUGCCCUCGUGAAUUAGGAACUUCAUCAAACUGUUACACUCCUCAGACUGCCAGUAUAAGUUCCAGGUACAGCAGAAAC